rnacentral:rRNA from 1 species
UCCUACGGGAGGCAGCAGUGGGGAAUAUUGCACAAUGGGCGGAAGCCUGAUGCAGCGACGCCGCGUGAGGGAUGACGGCCUUCGGGUUGUAAACCUCUUUCAGUAGGGAAGAAGCGUAAGUGACGGUACCUGCAGAAGAAGCGCCGGCUAACUACGUGCCAGCAGCCGCGGUAAUACGUAGGGCGCAAGCGUUAUCCGGAAUUAUUGGGCGUAAAGAGCUCGUAGGCGGUUUGUCGCGUCUGCCGUGAAAGUCCGGGGCUCAACUCCGGAUCUGCGGUGGGUACGGGCAGACUAGAGUGAUGUAGGGGAGACUGGAAUUCCUGGUGCAGCGGUGAAAUGCGCAGAUAUCAGGAGGAACACCGAUGGCGAAGGCAGGUCUCUGGGCAUUAACUGACGCUGAGGAGCGAAAGCAUGGGGAGCGAACAGGAUUAGAUACCCUGGUAGUCCAUGCCGUAAACGUUGGGAACUAGGUGUGGGCCUCAUUCCACGAGGUCCGUGCCGCAGCUAACGCAUUAAGUUCCCCGCCUGGGGAGUACGGCCGCAAGGCUAAAACUCAAAGGAAUUGACGGGGGCCCGCACAAGCGGCGGAGCAUGCGGAUUAAUUCGAUGCAACGCGAAGAACCUUACCAAGGCUUGACAUGUGCCGGAAAAGUGCAGAGAUGUGCUCCCCGCAAGGUCGGUACACAGGUGGUGCAUGGUUGUCGUCAGCUCGUGUCGUGAGAUGUUGGGUUAAGUCCCGCAACGAGCGCAACCCUCGUUCUAUGUUGCCAGCACGUGAUGGUGGGGACUCAUAGGAGACUGCCGGGGUCAACUCGGAGGAAGGUGGAGAUGACGUCAAAUCAUCAUGCCCCUUAUGUCUUGGGCUUCACGCAUGCUACAAUGGCCAGUACAAAGGGCUGCGAUACCGCGAGGUGGAGCGAAUCCCAAAAAACUGGUCUCAGUUCGGAUUGGGGUCUGCAACUCGACCCCAUGAAGUCGGAGUCGGUAGUAAUCGCAGAUCAGCAACGCUGCGGUGAAUACGUUCCCGGGCCUUGUACACACCGCCAUCGGA